rnacentral:rRNA from 1 species
AAGAGAUCGGGAUAACACCUGGAAACAGAUGCUAAUACCGGAUAACAACAGAUGAUGCCUAUCAACUGUUUAAAAGAUGGUUCUGCUAUCACUCUUGGAUGGACCUGCGGUGCAUUAGCUAGUUGGUAGGGUAACGGCCUACCAAGGCGAUGAUGCAUAGCCGAGUUGAGAGACUGAUCGGCCACAUUGGGACUGAGACACGGCCCAAACUCCUACGGGAGGCAGCAGCCG